rnacentral:rRNA from 1 species
GCAUCGGAAUCUGCCUCUAUGUGGGGGAUAACGUAGGGAAACUUACGCUAAUACCGCAUACGACCUACGGGUGAAAGCCGGGGACCUUCGGGCCUGGCGCAGAGAGAUGAGCCGAUGCCGGAUUAGCUAGUUGGCGGGGUAAUGGCCCACCAAGGCGACGAUCCGUAGCUGGUCUGAGAGGAUGAUCAGCCACACUGGAACUGAGACACGGUCCAG